GGGGCUGUAGCUCAGUGGGAGAGUGCCUGCCUAGCAGGUGUGAAGCACUGGGUUUGAUCCUCAGCACCACCU
rnacentral:tRNA from 1 species